AAACCCUCCUCUGGAGUCUCCUCCCACCUCGCCGAUUAUUUAUCCCCUCCCACCCUGCCAACAACGGCCUCCGCCUCCUGCUCCGCCGCCGCCGGAUUCGCUCCCCCCACCGGCCGGCACCGACCGUUCCCGCACCACCGCGCCGCCUCCCUCCCGCCGGCCACCGUCGCUCUCCUCCCGCCCCCGCCCCAGCACGCGCGCGUCGUCGAGCACCACCAGUAACGCCUCCCCCCCGCACGAGGUCCACGCAUCGGCAUCCACCCAUCCAUCCACCUUUGACUGCCCAGUCCAGAUUCCGCAUCCAGAUCUAGCCGCGCGCGCGAUCCGGGGAGGGGGGCGAUGAACGGUGGCAUCGCUCCGCCGCCGGCCGCGGCCGCGACGGAGGCGGAGACGGCGGCGACCACGCCGAGCCACCGGCGGCUGCCGGACUUCCUCCAGAGCGUGAACCUCAAGUACGUGAAGCUGGGGUACCACUACCUCAUCACCCACCUCAUCACGCUGCUGCUGCUGCCGCUCAUGGCCGUCAUCGUCCUCGAGGCCGGCCGCACCGACCCCGACGACCUCCGCCAGCUCUGGCUGCACCUCCAGUACAACCUCGUCUCCGUGCUCGUCCUCUCCGCCGUCCUCGUCUUCGGCGCCACCGUGUACGUGCUCACCCGCCCCCGCCCCGUCUACCUCGUCGACUUCGCCUGCUACAAGGCGCCCGACCACCUCAAGGUCGGCUUCCAGGAGUUCCUCCGCCACUCGGCGCUCUGCGGCUUCUCCAACGACGCCCUCGAGUUCCAGCGCAAGAUCCUCGAGCGCUCGGGGCUCAGCGAGGAGACCUACUGCCCCGAGGGCAUGCACGCCAUCCCGCCCGAGCCCACCAUGGCCAACGCCCGCGCCGAGGCCGAGUCCGUCAUGUUCGGCGCGCUCGACAGCCUCUUCGCCGCCACCGGCGUCAAGCCCAAGGACGUCGGCAUCCUCGUCGUCAACUGCAGCCUCUUCAACCCGACGCCCUCGCUCUCCGCCAUGAUCGUCAACCGGUACAAGCUCAGGGGCAACGUCCGGAGCUUCAACCUCGGCGGGAUGGGCUGCAGCGCCGGCGUCAUCGCCAUCGACCUCGCCCGGGACAUGCUCCAGGUGCACCGCGGCACCUACGCCGUGGUGGUGAGCACGGAGAACAUCACGCAGAACUGGUACUUCGGCAACCGCAAGUCGAUGCUCAUCCCCAACUGCCUCUUCCGCGUCGGCUGCUCCGCGGUGCUCCUCUCCAACCGCGGCGCCGACCGCCGCCGCGCCAAGUACAGCCUCAAGCACGUGGUGCGCACGCACAAGGGCGCCGACGACAAGGCCUUCAACUGCGUGUACCAGGAGCAGGACGGCGAGGGCAAGACGGGCGUCUCGCUCUCCAAGGACCUGAUGGCGAUCGCCGGCGGGGCGCUCAAGACCAACAUCACCACGCUGGGGCCGCUCGUGCUCCCCUUCAGCGAGCAGCUGCUCUUCUUCGCCACGCUGGUGUCCAAGAAGCUCUUCAACGCCAAGGUGAAGCCCUACAUCCCGGACUUCAAGCUGGCGUUCGAGCACUUCUGCAUCCACGCCGGCGGGCGCGCGGUGAUCGACGAGCUGGAGAAGAACCUGCAGCUGCAGCCGGUGCACGUGGAGGCGUCCCGGAUGACCCUGCACCGGUUCGGCAACACCUCCAGCAGCUCCAUCUGGUACGAGCUGGCCUACAUGGAGGCCAAGGGCCGCGUCCGGCGCGGCGACCGCAUCUGGCAGAUCGCCUUCGGCAGCGGGUUCAAGUGCAACAGCGCGGUGUGGCACGCCCUGCGCAACGUCAAGCCGUCGCCCAGCACCCCCUGGGACGACUGCAUCGACCGCUACCCCGUGGAGCUCGUCGACGGCUUCCCCACCCACAACCACAAGCAGCAGCAAUAGCAUCCGCGCCCAUCGCCAUUGGAGCUCUUCCUGAUACAGAAACCUCACUCAGAAUGGAUCAAUUCAAAUCCAUUCAUGGUUACCAGAGACAUAAUUAAUGGGUAGUACUGCAAGAAGAAUCUCCAGGCGUGGUGUAAGUCUGCUAUGCUCUGCUCUGAUCUGUAUGAAUGCAACUCUGUGCUCAUCUUCAAGAAGAUUUUGAUUGCUGGUCUGUGUACUUGAGGUAUCUGGACCAGCAUCCUGCCCUGACCGACCCUGUGGUGGUAAGUUUUACUCCAGUCCAGUAGUAGCAUAGCAGAGUGGUGGUGAUGAGGAGGUCAAUGAGAUAUGCCUGCUGUUGUGUUGUUGUAUGUACAUUUGUUGUCUCUUUUAGCAAUUGCUGGGGAUUUGCCAUUCACCACAGACAGUGAGGGGUCCGUCCAUAGGAGGGGCCAAUCUUUAUUUUUGGUUACAUGAGAAAUUAAGAGAUUGAUUCAUGCUGGUUACAGGCAGUGUAUUGUUAUUGGUUCUGUCGACUGAACUAUGGAGCAUGUAUUUGUCAUGUUCGAUCGAUUUUCUUUUCUUCUGCUUCAUUUUGCUGUAUUACUGACCUUGAUAUAUACGCCUCAAGUGGUUUUAUUCCUUCAGUAUUUUUCAACUUAUCUCUGUUAUACUUUAAUCCCUUGAGCAAGACGAUGGUGCUGCCGAUUGUGAUCUUGAACAAGAACAGACCGGCAUCUGUUGGAUCUUGCGUUGACGAAUUUGCAGAUUUCAGUUCUUCUUCUUUCAUGUUGACAUGGAUGCACGGAGGCAUAUUUUCCUGAGGCCCAGGCAUUAUCUUGGUCUCUGAUUUACUGUCAAGAGCAUUUCUCUCCGGUGUUUCUGAACAUUCUGAAGGGCAAAUACAGAUAGCGGGCUCAUGCAGAACAGAGACGAAGAUGAUGCGUGUCAGCAUCACACCGGCUCUCUCUCUCUCGUGUCCACUUCCUGCAACAGCGC
rnacentral:rRNA from 1 species